rnacentral:rRNA from 1 species
CAGGAUGAACGCUGGCGGCGUGCCUAAUACAUGCAAGUCGAGCGAACAGAUAAGGAGCUUGCUCCUUUGACGUUAGCGGCGGACGGGUGAGUAACACGUGGGUAACCUACCUAUAAGACUGGAAUAACUCCGGGAAACCGGGGCUAAUGCCGGAUAAUAUUUAGAACCGCAUGGUUCUAAAGUGAAAGAUGGUUUUGCUAUCACUUAUAGAUGGACCCGCGCCGUAUUAGCUAGUUGGUGGGGUAAUGGCUUACCAAGGCAACGAUACGUAGCCGACCUGAGAGGGUGAUCGGCCACACUGGAACUGAGACACGGUCCAGACUCCUACGGGAGGCAGCAGUAGGGAAUCUUCCGCAAUGGGCGAAAGCCUGACGGAGCAACGCCGCGUGAGUGAUGAAGGUCUUCGGAUCGUAAAACUCUGUUAUUAGGGAAGAACAAAUGUGUAAGUAACUGUGCACGUCUUGACGGUACCUAAUCAGAAAGCCACGGCUAACUACGUGCC